GACGAACGCUGGCGGCGUGCUUAACACAUGCAAGUCGAACGGUAAGGCUCCAGCUUGCUGGGGUACACGAGUGGCGAACGGGUGAGUAACACGUGGGUGACCUGCCCUGCACUUCGGGAUAAGCCUGGGAAACUGGGUCUAAUACCGGAUAGGACCAUGGUGUGGAUACUGUGGUGGAAAGUUUUUUCGGUGUGGGAUGGGCCCGCGGCCUAUCAGCUUGUUGGUGGGGUAAUGGCCUACCAAGGCGGCGACGGGUAGCCGGCCUGAGAGGGUGGACGGCCACAUUGGGACUGAGACACGGCCCAGACUCCUACGGGAGGCAGCAGUGGGGAAUAUUGCACAAUGGGAGGAAGCCUGAUGCAGCAACGCCGCGUGGGGGAUGACGGCCUUCGGGUGGUAAACUCCUUUCACCAUCGACGAAGGGUUUCUGACGGUAGAUGGAGAAGAAGCACCGGCUAACUACGUG
rnacentral:rRNA from 1 species